GAUACGUAUGACCGGAGCAUGGUCGUCGGUUCACAGACCUCAAGCUGGGUGUGCUCGAGAAAUGGCCGUUCGCCGAUGUCUCCGGAUCAUUCUCUGUCCAAGAUUCGUUCGAGGUUUUUGUGAAUGGCGAACUUCUGUUUUCUAAACUAGAGACUAAGGAAUUUCCACAGGAAACACAGAUGUUUGGGCGAAUCUACGACAAAGUCAACAAAAUACCAGACGACCAGCGCCGUGGAUCUUCCACUCUUUGUACAUUAUUAUAAAACUCUUCAUUUUAAGUGUCAUCUAUGCCACACUUUAGUUAAUUUAUUAAUGGAAAUAUAUACUUGUGGCAUUAAUGCACCAAUCAAUGUUUGGCCAACGGGUGAAAGGGGGCAUCUACGACCUUCUGGACAAUGACAAAUUUCCCUGCUCCCGGGGUGGGAUUAAGACGAUUCAUUUUGAAUUUUGUCUAAAUUCCUUGGGUGUGAUCAUCACCCAUCGGGGUAUCAAAAUAUUGGGAUAAGUGCAAAAGGUAACUCAUCGUCGGAUACCAACAUGAGACCAGUUUAAUUUCUCUAGAUUCAUCGAAUUGAGUGCAACGGAAUUGGUCGGUCGUGGGUGCCCGACGACGAAAGUACCUUUA